AGCAUUCAAUGCAUUACACAUAUCACAUUAACAUGAUAAUGGAGGAAUCAUUCUGCAUAAAACAUCCUGUGGAGUGUGAGUUUUCUUUUUGUAAUUUUAUAAUGCGGUUUGAUCACCAAAAUAUAUAGUACACAAUUGUUUUACCCUGGUGCUUUUAACAUGUUAAUAAGCAGUUUCUAGAGAGAAUUGGGAAAAGCAAACCAAAAAAAUGUUGAUUUUAUUUGAUGCUAUACUUUUCUGCUGUGUAUAGCAAAUGAUAAAAUCAAUUGCGGAUGGUUGGAAAGUAACGUUAGUGCAUGUAUUUUGCUACAAUAAAUAUUUAAUUUGCACUGUACCUCUGUUUGUGUGGCAACGUAUGUAUAUCUGGAUGAUUUAUAAUUGAAAUGCAGUUAUGAAAACAAAUGUCAAUUUGGAUACAGACAUAGUUUAAAGAAGCACUUUCAGACAAAACGUCUUGCAAAGUAUUUUAAAAUUUCUUUUAGAUAUGAAAUUGAUGUCCUGCUUAUUUAUUAAAACCAUAUAUGAUAUAGUCAGCGCUUGCAUCUAAUAUUUUCCUUUACAUUUAAGUUUUGAAUACUUCCUUAAAAAAUACCUGCUUGCAAUCCUCUAAUGUCUUCGAUAUUGAACAUUUAGAAAAAUACAGAUGCAAUGAUUUUAGUUCGAGGUGUUAACUAUAUUAACAUGUAUUGCAUGAUACAACAAAGAUAUGCGUACUCAGAAUAUUUACAUUAAAUGAUGGAGAAAACGAAAAACGCUUUCACUUAAUCAAAACUAAGAAUAAUAAACACAAAUGUAACAAGAACUAUCUUUAAAAAAGAUAUCCGACGUAUUUAAAUUUGAGUAUAUGUUUAAAACUAUCAUUUCGAUAACCUUCAGAAGCAAAAAGAUACCAUUUAACUAACGUUUUCUCUGUUUGUGUUCAGUAUUCUCGGUCCUCGUAUCUUUCUGUUUACAUUCACCAAAACCCCUCGAAAAUCUCACAUGCGUAUGUGCGUUCUAAAAGUUAUGUACGUUCGUACAACAAAGUUUACAUUAAAAAUUAUAUAAUUGUCCCGAAUAAACAGCUGUCACGGAUGCAAAGAGCUAUUGGAGAAACAAUUAUUUUAAUAAAAAUAUAAAUCUUUAUAAGAUCUAGUUCAAAUAUUUAUAGUUUUUUACUUGCUUUCCAUCACGAUAUAACUAACGAGACGUUUUUUCAAACACAACCAAAUCACCCACCAUGACAGCAUUUUGUCCAAUCACAGAAAGGAUUUUCGAGCAUGCGUAUUCUGUUUGCCAUAGUUAAGCGUCCUUAAGUUCAAAGGGCACAAACCGAAACUAUACCGACUACGUCGGAAAAAAGCAAACGACAAGUGCAAAGCAGGUCAUAAUACCGUGUGCUUAUCAUAGAGAAACAUCUAACACCAAUUUAAAAGUCUCUGGACUAACAAUUCCGAGGUUCGAACCAACGACCCAUUUGUACUCAAGGCAACCCGCUACCACGAGACCACUGUAUUAUAUCACAAUUUUGAGUACUAUUGUAUAAUUAUCAUAUUUGUCGGCUUACGAGAUGGUUAUAUUACGGGAUACAUCUAGAACAUGUAAGAGUUGUCUACAAUUCGGUUUCACAGUUAUCUCUGCCUAUUGAUUUUUCUAAUGCCGGUUAAAUGACUGGCAGAUAACAUACGUAACCUUUUUGAGCUAACACUUUUUUUAGGAGAAGAACAUAAACAAUCAUGUAAUACCGCAGUCCCACUAGGCCACGAUCGCACUACGAUCUGGGAAAAAAAAUACAAAUUUUGAUGAUCGUAGUACGAUCGUGUAGAUCGCAGUAAGGUCGUAUCACGAUCGUGGUGAGGUCUUCAGGAUCGUAAUGAGCGUGGCCAACGUUGAACAUAUUCAAAACAAUCGUGGUGCGGUUGUGGCGAAAUCAGGUCGUAGUAGAAGCGUAGCGAGAGCGCAGUAAGAUCGUAGUAAGAUCGCAAAGGUCGCUAUACCAUCGUAGCGAGAGCGUAGUGAAAGCGUGAUUCUAUUCGGAGAAACUGCGCUACGAUCUCACAGCAACGUUAUUACGACCUUACUACGACUAUCACAUUCUCAUUGCGACCCAACUACGCUUCUACUACGACUUUACCACGCUGUUCACGACCAUAGUACGAUUCUAGUACGCCCUUGCCGUCCUCAUCACGCUCUUCUUACGACCUGACUACUUUCAUACUACGACCAUUAUUCUCAUUGUAAUUUGCACAUCGAAUAUAUUAAAUCUCUCCAGGUUUUGUUUGUGUGUAUGUAAAUGGGACUUCUUAUCCAUGUUCUCUAACGGCUCAAUCAUGCUUCUCGUUUUCAUAUAGAUUAGACCGUUGGUUGUCCCGUUUGAAUAGUUUUACACUGGUAAUUUUGGGGGCCCUUUAUAGCUUGCUGUUCAGUGUGAACCAAUGCUCCGUGUUUAAGUCCGUACCUUGGCCUAUAAUGGUUUACUUUUAAAAAUUGUUACUUUGAUGCAUAUGGAGAGUUGUCUCAUUGGCACUCAUACCACAUCUUUCUAUAUAUAUAUUGACACAUCUGUGUCAUCUCUGCUAUCGUUCACUUAAAUAUCGUCAUUUUAGCUUGAUGGACCAGCAAUAGGUUGUAAUUUAGGUUAGAUUGGUCGGGCCGAAAUAUCUUCUGGAUCAGGAUUCGUUAUUAUCAAAGCUCCCUCUGCCGCCUCUACAUCAACCCCUACCACCACGCUCACGUGUUCUAGUAGGUUUUGGUGGCAUGACUAUUGUUUCCGAGAAAUCUACGUAUAAAUCAGAAAUAGAAGGAAUGAAACUGUAUUGAUAUGGAACACAAUGUUGACAUUAUUGCUGAGAGCGUAGUAAGAUCACGGUAUGAACGUCGUAUAAUCGUGGUCAGAACGUGCUUUAAUCGAAGUAGAAGCGUGGUAAGAUCGGGUUGAAAUCGGAUAACUCGUGGUAUGGUCGUAGUGAGAACGUGAUGAUCGUAGAAAGAUCUUGAUAAGCGUAGUGAUGUCGCAGCAUAAGCGCGUUGAGAACGUAGUUUAUUCGUAGCGGGAUCGUUAUAAAAGCGUAAUGAGGACGUGGUAGCAUCGUGAAAGCAACGAAAAUUUACAAUUUCAUGCCGCUCAUACCGCGACUUCACCACGAUCUGAAUUUAUUUUAGAUCGUGGUGAGCGUGGUGCGAUUGUGGUCUAGUGGGACUGGGGCUUCAGCAGACUUUAUGUUUCAGAAUAAAUCAGCCGUUUUUUUUUUAGUUAAUUUUAUAUUUUGUCAUGUCUGGCCUAUUAUUGCGAACUAUCUGGUAUGCGAUUUGCGCAACGUGAACGGAAAAUGCUCAAAAUAUUGUAUGUAGAUACAUCAUAAAUCAAUUGAUGCUGUUUUUCUUUUAUCAGGUUAACAUAAGAUUUAACCUGAAUACUCUCUUCGUUCCAUGAUAAGAUAUGACACGGAUAAGCAGUUGGUUUAUAGGAAUUGUACUAUGUUCUCUUUUAUGUUGCGUAACGUAUGGGUAAGUAAAAACGCAUUACAUCCAAAAUUUUAUGGAAAUAUUCUUUAUAAAGCACAAAAAUGUCAGUAUUCUCCUCAGAAACUAACAAAACCUUUAAAUAGACUUAUUAAAAGGGGAUAUAGUUACGAUACUGUUGUCAGGUCAUUAAAGAUUGCAUAUUUUGGCUUUAACAUUGAUUCACUGAUAGGGUCUUUGCAUCGGAAUUAAACACAUUUAUUUCUAAAAAAACAGUUGUUGGCAUGACACGGGUUAUGUUCUUCUCAUAUAUUUUAUGAUAGUAUGAUACUAAACCCCUAACGGGAGGGAUUGUACCUGAUAUUCAUAUGAUGAAGACAAAUCUUCAAUCAGUUUAAUUGAGGUCUGGAGCUGGCAUGUCAGUUAACUGCUAUUAGUCUGUUGUUAUUUAUGUAUUAUUGUCAUUUUAUUUAUUUUCUUUUGUUACAUCUUUUGACAUCGACUCGGGCUUCUCUUGAACUGAUUUUAAUGUGCGUAUUGUUAUUCUUUUACUUUUCUACAUUGGCUAGAGGUAUAGGGGGAGGGUUGAGAUCUCAUAAACAUGUAUAACCCCGCCGCAAUUUUGCCCCUGUCCCAAGUCAGGAGCCUCUGGCCUUUGUUAGUCUUGUAUGGUUUUAAAUUUUAGUUUCUGGUGUAUAAUUCGGAGUUUAGUAUGACGUCCAUUAUCACUGUACUAUUAUGCUUAUUUUAGGGGCCAGCUGAAGGACACCUACGGGUGCGGGAAUUCUCGCUACAUUGAGACCCAAUUGGUUGCCUUCGGCUGUUUGUUUGCUCUAUGGUCGGGUGGUUGUCGCUUUGACAUAUUCACCAUUUCCUUUCUCAAUUUUAUUACAAAAACAACGGUUCUUUAAAACAGAAUCCAUGAGAACAGACAAAAUCAAACCCAAGAACGAAUGAGUUUUAUUUUUCAUGUUCCUUACUUAAUACAGGAAAGACCGGUUUGAAACAUUACCUUAAUUUAAGUGAUUAUAACAUAUAUGUACCCUAUGUUCAUAAUUUUUUUAUAUUUCCUAAUUUGAUAUAUGUUUUUAACUGGCUCGGUGAAACACGGGUUCACCAUGCUUAUAGUGGAGUGACAGAUCAAGAAAAAGGUGCCUAUUUUACGAUUUUAAUGAACCGGCAUACCUACAGGCUAAAAACGAUUUUUUAGCUAAGCUAAUACCUUAAGCUUACUUUUUUGUCCGGUCGUUUUUUUUUUAAAUGGAAUAAAAAAGACAUUUGGACUUUUUUUCAAGUUUCAAGAUGGGAAAAAAUUUGAGUUUUGAUACUUGUUUUUGUCUUUUGACAUAUGAUUUUGCAUUUUGUACAGAGUUUUAUGGUUUAUUCAUAAUGUAAAACUAGAAUUCCUUAAUUGUUUUUCCUAAAUUUUGUCCAUUUUCACUCAGCGUGGCGAAAGCACACUGUGUAUUAGUUUAACGAAGUGCUUACAACAUUUGUAAUUUUAGAUAACAUUGAUAAUUUCAUGACUUUCCGAUUUAAAAUGUUUAAACUUCGAAGCCAUUCUAAGUCAGUAUUUCUAAUAAAUGAACUUUAAUGAGGAUUUUUAACUUUGCAUUAUAGUUCAAUGGUUAUGAGAUGGUCCUCCUUGUUAUUCUGAUGCUCAUUGAGAGAUUGUAGUAAUGUUUCUUAACUUCCUGUCGAGAAACUACGAAAAGUUGUAGCAAUGUUUCUUUACUUCCUGUCGAGAAACUACGAAAAGUCCUGGCAAUAACAGAAUGCAUACUUGCUUUAAACAUAAACCUGUUAACUCCAUUUCAUUUUGCUUUGGCAUUACAAUUACACCAUUAGUUUUACUAUAAAUGUUUUUUUUAUUGAAAAUUCAAACUGUCAUGGUUUUGGUGCAUCAUAUUCUGAAGUACGUCGAUAUCGGACUAAUUUAGCAAAUUUGAAAAUAGACAGAAUCCAAGACAUGUCCUAUGUACAUAAUGGUAUUGCUCUAUUUAGAAACGGUGGUCGUAUUAUACAGGAGGGAGCAGAAAAUAUUCACUUAAGUGGUGAAAUAAUCGAUGGUAAAAAUACAUUUCACUCAAUGGCUAGAGUUGUAUUUCAGUAUCAAAGUGAAUCAUCAAACGCCCACAUGAGUUCCAAAAAGGUUAAAUGGGGACUAGAAAGAUCUUUGACAUAAAAUGAUUCGAAUACCAAUAGUAUGGCAUGUUUACCUUUCGGCAAACCAACAGAACGGUAUGGAUCUCCUCGUUAUUCUAAUGUUUAUGGGAAGAUUAUGUCUUGUUUCAUUGAAAACCGACAUAUAUCUGUCCAGUCUUUUGUAUUUUUGGGACUUCUUUCGAGACAAAAGAUUCGAUUACAUUGACAUAUCUUACUGGUCCAAUACCUUCUGCUCUGUUCCAUGAUGAUGGUAACAUGUGGAAAUGUUGUAUCUCUGAUAUAAUUCACCUCCUUAAAGAGGAAAUUUGCUCUUCGUUCAAUAAUCCAAGUUAUGAUAAAAUUUAUCAAAGGUUCCAGGCUUAUAAUUUGAUACUCUAGACGCGCGUUUCGUCUACAUAAGACUCAGUAUUGACGCUCAGAUUAAAAAAGUAAGAAAGCCAAACAAGUGUAAAGUUGAAGAGCAUUGAGGACAAACACUCCAAAAAGUUGUGCCAAAUACGGCCAAAGUAGUCUACGCCUGGGAUAAGAAAAUCAUUAGUUGUUUCGAAUAAUUAAUACUUUUGCAAACGGUAAAUUAUACAAAUGACUAUAUAAUUGAUAAAUGUCAACACCGAAGUGUUGAUUACUGGGUUGGUGAUACCCUCUUCCGAUGAGUUUUCAAACGAGAGAUCAGGAAUCGCCGUUAACAUUGGAAGUGCAUUUAUCGCCUCAUUGUAUGAUCCGAAGGGAAAUUUCAAGUAUCUUCAAUAUGAUCUAAACAAGCUAAGGAUGGAGUUUGCCGCCACAAAGGAUGCCAGUCUUGUGAAAAUUGCCCCAUGUGAAAACAGGUUUUUACAACACAUCCCACGUGCAAUGCUUCAAACGGAAGUUUUGAUGAACUCUAAUAUUGCUAAACCAGUGAUCAUACAUACCAAAGACUCUGGUUGGUUAGAGGGUAAAAACGGUUUGCUCUGGGGACCUUUGUUAGUAGAUUUCCUUCAAGACCUUGAUUGUACGUAUACGGGCGAGAGAAAACAGCUUGCUAUUACAACUGUGUAUGCAACCAACAGAUAUCUGCGUAUAACAUUAUUUGUUCAUGUGUAGGGUCUGAUGAUUGUAGAAUUUAUUAAACUCACCGAGUAAUAUUGGAAGAAGACAACGAAUAAAACGAUGACUGAUGUCAGGGUUUCGAAAGUUGUCAUGCCCUUUGUUUGUUAAAAUAUCCCACACAACUACUCUUUCUAAGGGGUACAGGUGUGUUUUUGUAAGGCAAAGGCACAUAAAACCUAAAAAGUUCGUAGAGCUAGAAUAUACGCUGAAACUUUAGUUCAUCAUUAAACUCAUUUGAUUUAAUUGCCUUGUGAAAUAUUUGUGACUGGCAAUAAAUAUACACCAAAGCAAAAACCAAAUAGUCCAUUUGUCAAUUACCUAUUUGAUUCUGUUAAUACACACUUUUAAACAAAUAACUUCCGUGUGUCAAUCGUUUACUGGUUCCAUACCGGACAAAAUUGGCAUUUGCCAAUGCAAAGCAUGAUGAAGUGAAAGUGAUGUAUCGUCUGUUUAACAAAGUUUUUCAUUGAAAUAGUUUCUGAUGUCAAAACUAUUUAGCUGAACAACAAGUUGAUUUAAUCAUAAGAUUUAAAAACUUUAAAGAUUACUCACAUUACGCACAGAUAAAUUUACUCUUUCUGAUGUCUCUCCAUUGUAAAUAAAAAUUAAUGUCCCUUAUAAGGGAGACAACUAAAAAGGGAUCUCUAAUUACAGUGUCAAUUACUGGAAUUGGCAGGUAGCCUAUUGACUUCGAUUCCUUUUAUAAAGGCCAUAAAAUUCAGAAGUACAUGCGAUGUAUUUGUUUGGCUUUAUAAAAAUUUUGAUAUGAGCGUCAGUGAUGAGUCUUAUGUAGACGAAACGCGCGUCUGGCCCUCUAAAUUACAAUCCUGAAACCUUUGAUAACUGUUUACACCACUGGGUCGAUGCCAUUGCUGGUGGACGUUUCGUUCCCGAGGGUAUCACCAGCCCAGUAGUAAAAACGUCGGUGUUGACAUGAAUAUCAAUAAUGUGGUCAUUUGUAUGAAUUUCCUGUUUACAAAACUUUUAAUGUUUCGAAAAAAAACUAAGGAUUUUCUUAUCCCAGGCAUAUAUUACCUUAGCUGUAUUUGGCACAAUUUUUUUGGAAUUUUUGAUCGUCAAUGCUCUUCAACUUUGUAUUUGUUUGGCUUGAUACAUAUUUUGAUAUGAGCGUCACUGAUGAGUCUUAUGUAGACGAAAUGCGCGUCUUGCGUACUAAAUUAUAAUCCUGGUACCUUUGAUAACUAUUUACACCACUGGGUCAAUGCCACUGCUAAUGGACGUUUCGUUCCCGAGGGUAUCACCAGCCCAGUAGUAAACACUUCAGUGUUGACAUGAAUAUCAAUAAUGUGGUCAUUUUUAUAAAUUUUCUGUUUACAAAACUUCGAAUUUUUCGAACAAUUAAAGAUUUCCUUAUCCCAGACAUAGAUUUAGCCGUAUUUGGCACCAUUUAUCAGAAUUUUGGAUCUUCAAUGCUCUUCAACUUUGUAUUAGUUUGGCUUUAUAAAUAUUUUGAUAUGAGCGUCACUGAUGAGUCUUGUGUAGACGAAACGAGCAUCUGGCGUACUUAAUUAUAAUCCUGGUACCUUUGAUAACGAUUUACACAACUUGGUCGAUGCCACUGCUGGUGGACGUUUCGUCCCCGAGGGUAUCACCAGUCCAGUAGUAAAAACUUCGUUGUUUACAUGAAUAUCAAAAACAAAUAAUGGGUUCAUUUUUAUAUAUUUCCUGUUUACAAAACUUUGAUUUUUUUCGAAAGACUAAGGAGUUUCUUACCCCAGGCAUAGAUUACUUUAGUCGUAUUUAGCACAAUUUUUUGGAAUGUUGGAUCCCCAAUGCUCUUCAACUUCGUAUUUAUUUGGCUGGAUAAAUAUUUUUAUAUGAGCGUCACUGAUGAGUCUUAUGUAGACGAAACGCGCGUCUUGUGUACUUAAUUAUAAUCCUGGUAACUUUGACAACUAUUUACACCACUUGUCGAUGCCACUGCUGGUGUACGUUUCGUCCCCGAGGGUAUCACCAGCCUAGCAGUCAACAUUUCGGUUACGACAUGGAUAUCAAUAAUGUCGAAUGUUGUAUCCUCAAUGCUCUUCAACUUUGUAUUUGUUUGGCUUGAUAAAUAUUUUGAUAUGAGCGUCACUGAUGAGUCUUAUGUAGACGAAACGCGCGUUUGGUGUACUAAAUUAUAAUCCUAGUACUUUUGAUAAGUAAUAACACCACUGGGACGAUGCCAAUUCUGGCGGACGGUUCGUUCUCGAGGGUAUCACCAGCCCAGUAGUCAACACUUCGAUGCUGAAAUAAAUAUCAAUAAUGUGGUAAUUUUUAUAAAUUUCCUGUUUACAAAACUUUGAAUUUUUCGAAAAACUAAGGCUAUUCUUAUCCCAGGCAUUAAUUACCUUAACCGUAUUUGGCACAUGUUUUGGAAUUUUGGAUCCUCAAUGCUCUUCAACUUUGUAUUUGUUAAGCUUUAUAAAUAUUUUGAUAUGAGCGUCACUGAUGAGUCUUAUGUAGACGAAACGCGCGUCUGGCGUACUAAAUUAUAAUCCUGGUACCUUUGAUAACUAUGUACACCACUGGGUCGAAGCAACUGCUGGUGUACGUUUCGUCCCCGAGGGUAUCACCAGCCUAGUAGUCAACACUUCGGUGUUGACAUGAAUAUCAAUAAUGUUGUAAUUUUUAUGAAUUUCCUGUUUACCAAACUUUUAAUGUUUCGAAGAAACUAAGGAUUUUCUUUUCCCAGGAAAUAUUACAUUAGCCGUAUUGGAACAAUUGUUUUGGAAUUUUGAAUCGUUAAUGCUCUGUAACUUUGUAUUUGUUUAGCUUUAUAAAUAUUUUGAUAUGAGCGUCGCUGAUGAGUCUUAUGUAGACGAAACGCGCGUCUGGCGUACUUAAUUAUAAUCCUGGUAUCUUUGAUAACUAUUUACACAACUUGGUCGAUGCCACUGCUGGUGUACGUUUCGUCCCCGAGGGCAUCACCAGCCCAGUAGUAAACACUUCGGUGUUGACAUGAAUAUCAAUAAUGUAGUCACUUUUAUGAAUUUCCUGUUUACAAAACUUUUAAUGCUUCGACAAACUAAGGAUUUUCUUAUCCCAGGCAUUGAUUACCUUAGCCGUAUUUGGCACAUUUUUUUGGAAUUUUGGAUCAUCAAUGCUCUUAAACUGUGUAUUUGUUUAGCUUUAUAAAUAUUUUGAUAUGAGCGUCACUGAUGAGUUUUAUGUAGACGAAACGAGCAUCUGGCGUACUUUAUUAUAGUCCUGGUCCUUUGAUAACUAUUUACACGACUUGGUCGAUGCCACUGCUGGUGUACGUUUCGUCCCCGAGGGCAUCACCAGCCCAGUAGUAAACACUUCGGUGUUGACAUGAAUAUCAAUAAUGUAGUCACUUUUAUGAAUUUCCUGUUUACAAAACUUUUAAUGUUUCGAAAAACUAAGGAUUUUCUUAUCUCAGGCAUAGAUUACCCUAGACGUGUUUAGCACAUUUUUUUGAAAUUUUAGAUCCUCAAUGCUCUUCAACUUUGUAUUUGUUUGGCUUUAUAAAUAUUUUGAUAUGAGAGUCACUGAUGAGUCUUAUGUAGACGAAACGCGCGUCUUGUGUGCUAAAUUUUAAUCCUGGUAACUUUGAUGGUGUAACACACUAAUUCGGGCCCGGCCAGAAAGCACAUACCAGAAAGUAGUACAUAUUUAACACAAAAUAGUUUCGACGCAUGAGUGUAACUUUCAAAAUGUGUAGAAUAUUUAGAUCUUUUUGGCAUCAAAUGAAAGCUGAAGGACUGGUUAUCAUUGUAGAAUACUAUUAAAGGUAUGUUGAUUUUUUCAGUACACAUCACCAUAAAGUGUUGCUUUGACACGCAAUGAUUGCCACUUUAUUUGAACUUAAAAUGAAGGAGGUGUGCCUGCUUAAAAUGGAGGAAUUUAACAUGGAAAGCAAUGGGACCAUGAAUUAGUGUUGUACUUCCUGAUAACUAUUUACACCACUGGGUCUUAUGUAGACGAAACGCGCGUCUGGCGUACUAAAUUAUUAUCCUGGUACCUUUGAUAACUAUUUACACCACUGGUUCGAUGCCACUGCUGGUGAAUAUUUCGUCCUCGAGGGUAUCACCAGCCCAGUAGUAAACACUUCGGUGUUGACAUGAAUAUCAAUAAUGUGGUCAUGUUUAUGAAUAUCCUGUUUUCAAAACUUUUAAUGUUUCGAAAAAACUAAGGAUUUUCUUAUCCCAGGCAUUAAUUACCUUAGCCGUAUUAAGAACAUUUUUUUGGGGGAAUUUUGGAUCCUCAAUGCUCUUCAACUUUGUAUUUGUUUAGCUUUAUAAAUAUUUUAAUGUGAGAGUCACUGAUGAGUCUUAUGUAGACGAAAUACGCAUCUGGUGUACUAACUUAUAAUCCUGGUACCUGAUAACAUUUUUAAAAUUAAGUGAACUGUCGCAGUUUAUUUCAUUAUGAAAUUCUGGUUUAGUAACAAGUCAGAUAUUAUUUUGAGACUUUUUAUAACCUCUUGUGAAAUAAAUUGACAAUAGUGAAAAACUCAAUCACUAACCUUUGACCUUAUUUAAAAAGAAAAAUGCACCAUAUUUCAAUUUUACGACAAGGCUCAAAUUAGAGAAUAAAAAUAUCUCUUUCCAAAAAGUCAUAAUAAAGCCUGCAAGUAGGAUGGUGCAUUAAAGUUGAAAAAUUAUUGGCUUGGUCACUCCACUAUUAUAUUAAGCUUUCAAAUUCAUAUGACAUCUGUUUUCUCUUAUUGAAAGUUAAUAGACUGACAAUAGGCCAUCUUUAUUCUUGAAGAAAAACAAUCAUCAUCAAAAAGGAAAACAAAUACCAAAUAAAAAAAAAACAAAAAAACAUUUGACAUUUAAGUGAGGCGGAAGUAAUAAGAUACCAGGGGAAAUUCAAAACUCAUUGGUCGAAAAAUAACACUUUCAAUGAUAUUGCAAAUGACAGUAAUAUGAAAGCAAUUCAUAACGAAUUUUAUGCGUCCGAAGCCCUUUUUUUUAUCAACAUUCAUUUCAUUAUUCAGGAACGUUAUAACAGCACAAUACUAAAAACAAAGUGUCAACCAAUAUAUAAAAUAGUCUAACUCUUCCGAUUGUCAUCAUGCACACAACAAACAAAAACAUACACAAAAUACGUAUAAAGAAUUUAUCACACACGGAACUUUCCCCAAUACGUGUUAAUGAAAUACAAUAACAUUCGUAGAAGACGUCACCACUUAUAGAAGAUCUGACAUAGUGAAAUCAUCAAAAAUCUAGGUAACCCCUACGGAUCCACCGGGAUCACCACGUUAAUCAAUCAAAUUUGUAACGUGAAUAGAGGUAAAUAAAUAACCAGCAAUCAUAGUCAUUGGUAACAUCAAACCUUGAUUAUUUUGUCUUUUUUAUUAGCUCUGAACAAAAAUAAGGUUAUAUUCUAAUUCGUUACCUCAAACAAAUAUAAAGUAUUUAUAAGAUAAAAACAAACACUUGGUUCAUAGGAAAAGCUCGCCAGCAUGUGCAGCUUACUGUUUUAAUUUUAUUAGAAAGAAAAUUUGAGUCCCGGCAUAUAUUUGAAAUGUAAACGUUUGAAAGUAAAAUUUUUGCCACUGAAUACUUUUAAACGGUAUAAAUUAAGACAGGAGUUUCAAUCUCAUUAAUUGAUUAAUAAGACCAACCAAGAUAAUAAACGCAAAAGACUGAUGGAAUCUCAUUAACUCCAAAAGAAAAGAAAUUAACAACGCCGCCGGAAUAGUGUAUAAUGUAAUGCAUGCGUCACCUGUCAUUCGGAUCCACACUUAGCUAAAACAAAUAACACGAUCAAGAACAAAUCAUGAUUGAUUAUUUAACAGAUAAGACGAUUCAAUAAUUUGUUAUCUAAAAUUAUAAUGAUAGUACCAAAACAUGUCGUUUGUAAAUUGAGACACAAACAUAAUUAACGUUCCAAAAUGAUGAUCGUAGUGUCGUUUUCAAACUAAGGUAAACAUGUUAACAAUUACCAGGCAAGAAUUUAUCGUAGAGGUCCAUAGUAGAAUACCUCAUUAAACUAAUUGGAUUUUGAUCGAACUAGCAUAUAUUUUGUUAGGCAACUGAUGCACCCUUCCGGGAGCGGGAUUUUCUCGCUGCAUUGAAAACCUAUUGUUGGCUUUCGGCUGUUGUCUGCUCUUUUGUCGGGUUGUUGUCUCUUUGACAAAUUCCCCAUUUUCAUUCUGAAUUUAUUAAGAAACUAAAAGAUCUGCGUCUUAUUAAAAACAAUCAUAAAUUUGGAUAAGAAUAAAAAAUAUCCUUGUUAUCUAUUUAAGUGAGGAAAGUUUUUAGUCUGAAUGAGAAAAUCAUACUUAUUCGUAUACUAAUCAUUUUAUUACUCUUAUUUCAGUCGAACCUGUAGCAGACAAAAAGCCGUAUGGUAUACAGAGAGCGUGUGCACUUGCAGGUUUUGGUGGUCGUGGACUGUGCGUG
rnacentral:lncRNA from 1 species